rnacentral:rRNA from 1 species
AGUGAACGCUGGCGGUAGGCCUAACACAUGCAAGUCGAACGGCAGCACAGUAAGAGCUUGCUCUUACGGGUGGCGAGUGGCGGACGGGUGAGGAAUACAUCGGAAUCUACCUUUUCGUGGGGGAUAACGUAGGGAAACUUACGCUAAUACCGCAUACGACCUACGGGUGAAAGCAGGGGAUCUUCGGACCUUGCGCGAUUGAAUGAGCCGAUGUCGGAUUUGCUAGUUGGCGGGGUAAAGGCCCACCAAGGCGACGAUCCGUAGCUGGUCUGAGAGGAUGAUCAGCCACACUGGAACUGAGACACGGUCCAGACUCCUACGGGAGGCAGCAGUGGGGAAUAUUGGACAAUGGGCGCAAGCCUGAUCCAGCCAUACCGCGUGGGUGAAGAAGGCCUUCGGGUUGUAAAGCCCUUUUGUUGGGAAAGAAAAGCAGCAGGUUAAUACCCCGCUGUUCUGACGGUACCCAAAGAAUAAGCACCGGCUAACUUCGUG